rnacentral:rRNA from 1 species
UGGGGGAUAUUGCACAAUGGGGGAAACCCUGAUGCAGCGACGCCGCGUGGAGGAAGAAGGUUUUCGGAUUGUAAACUCCUGUCGUUAGGGACGAUAAUGACGGUACCUAACAAGAAAGCACCGGCUAACUACGUGCCAGCAGCCGCGGUAAAACGUAGGGUGCAAGCGUUGUCCGGAAUUACUGGGUGUAAAGGGAGCGCAGGCGGGAAGACAAGUUGGAAGUGAAAACCAUGGGCUCAACCCAUGAAUUGCUUUCAAAACUGUUUUUCUUGAGUAGUGCAGAGGUAGAUGGAAUUCCCGGUGUAGCGGUGGAAUGCGUAGAUAUCGGGAGGAACACCAGUGGCGAAGGCGGUCUACUGGGCACCAACUGACGCUGAGGCUCGAAAGCAUGGGUAGCAAACAGGAUUAGAUACCCUGGUAGUCCAUGCCGUAAACGAUGAUUACUAGGUGUUGGGGGAUUGACCCCCUCAGUGCCGCAGUUAACACAAUAAGUAAUCCACCUGGGGAGUACGACCGCAAGGUUGAAACUCAAAGGAAUUGACGGGGGCCCGCACAAGCAGUGGAGUAUGUGGUUUAAUUCGAAGCAACGCGAAGAACCUUACCAGGUCUUGACAUCCGAUGCAUAACACAGAGAUGUGUGAAAUCCUUCGGGACAUCGAGACAGGUGGUGCAUGGUUGUCGUCAGCUCGUGUCGUGAGAUGUUGGGUUAAGUCCCGCAACGAGCGCAACCCUUAUUGCCAGUUACUACGUUAAGAGGACUCUGGCGAGACUGCCGUUGACAAAACGGAGGAAGGUGGGGAUGACGUCAAAUCAUCAUGCCCUUUAUGACCUGGGCUACACACGUACUACAAUGGCGUUAAACAAAGAGAAGCAAGACCGCGAGGUGGAGCAAAACUCAAAAACAACGUCUCAGUUCAGAUUGCAGGCCGCAACUCGCCUGCAUGAAGUCGGAAUUGCUAGUAAUCGCGGAUCAGCAUGCCGCGGUGAAUACGUUCCC